UACGGGGGGUGCGAGCGUUGUCCGGAAUCACUGGGCGUAAAGGGCGCGUAGGUGGCGUGAUAAGGGUGUGGUGAAAGCCCGGGGCUCAACCCCGGGUCUGCCAUGCCGACUGUCAGGCUAGAGUACUGUAGGGGCAGGCGGAAUUCCGGGUGUAGCGGUGAAAUGCGUAGAUAUCAGGAGGAACACCGGUGGCGAAGGCGGCUACCUGGACAGAAACUGACGCUGAGGCACGAAAGCUAGGGGAGCAAACAGG
rnacentral:rRNA from 1 species